rnacentral:rRNA from 1 species
GUCGAACGGGCGUGGUUACAUCAUUCAUUAGUGGCGCAGGGGUUGCGUAAGCGUAAUCAACUAACUCUCUUUUGGGGAUUACCCGAUGAUUCUCGGAACAACACGCAUAAAUUAUUUUAGGGCACUUAAGAUUAAUGAGCUUAAGCGAUAGAGAUGGGCAUGCGUGAAAUUAGCUAGUUUGUUGGUGGUAUCGGCACACCAAGGCGACGAUGUCUAGGGGUUCUUGAGAGGAUUAUUCCCCCACACUUGGUAAUGAGAUCACGGACCAGAAUCCCUACGGGAGGCAGCAGUAGGGAAACACCGGGCAACGGCGGAAAACGCUGACCCCAGCCCAUUGCCGCGUGGCAGGAUCGAAAGGGCCUUUCUGGGGUUCGUAAAACUCGCUUUUCACCCAAGGGAAAGAGAAAUCACCCUUUCGCGAAAGGGAAACUCGAACGGUA